UUUUGUCACGGAGGCGGUGAAGAAGAAAAGGGCUGCGCUGCGGGAGUCGUACAGCAACCGCGAACCACUCAUCCUCCGUCUCAACUCCCGGCAAGACCCAGACCCGUGCGCAUCACCACCAGCUUUCUCUGAAGAUGGAGAGGGAAAGGAAGCAUAAGAACUACUUGUCCAUGAGGAAGUAUAAUAAAGGCCUAGGUCAGGACUGCGAUGCAAUGCCUAGCAUAGUGUGGAAGUAUUUUGUGUUUGCUUUGUUACCUGAAAUGCCUAGAUUGGUGUAAGUGGCAUAUUCUAUUUUGUGUUUGCUCUGUAUACCUCAAGGCUGGCAGCACCCGAUACUUUCCCGCAUCAGAGGACGUAUGUACGUUUAACUUGCAUGGCUCGUUGAUCACUGAAAUGAAGCUCCUGAAUGCAGCUCUAAUUUAUAAGCUCCUGAA